AUUGAACGCUGGCGGCAGGCCUAACACAUGCAAGUCGAGCGGAUGAAGGGAGCUUGCUCCUGGAUUCAGCGGCGGACGGGUGAGUAAUGCCUAGGAAUCUGCCUGGUAGUGGGGGAUAACGUCCGGAAACGGGCGCUAAUACCGCAUACGUCCUGAGGGAGAAAGUGGGGGAUCUUCGGACCUCACGCUAUCAGAUGAGCCUAGGUCGGAUUAGCUAGUUGGUGGGGUAAAGGCCUACCAAGGCGAGGAUCCGUAACUGGUCUGAGAGGAUGAUCAGUCACACUGGAACUGAGACACGGUCCAGACUCCUACGGGAGGCAGCAGUCGGGAAUAUUGGACAAUGGGCGAAAGCCUGAUCCAGCCAUGCCGCGUGUGUGAAGAAGGUCUUCGGAUUGUAAAGCACUUUAAGUUGGGAGGAAGGGCAGUAAGUUAAUACCUUGCUGUUUUGACGUUACCAACAGAAUAAGCACCGGCUAACUUCGUG
rnacentral:rRNA from 1 species